UACAGAGGUCUCAAGCGUUGUUCGGAUUCAUUGGGCGUAAAGGGUGCGUAGGCGGCGCGGUAAGUCGGGUGUGAAAUCUUGGAGCUUAACUCCGAAACUGCAUUCGAUACUGCCGUGCUUGAGGACUGGAGAGGAGACUGGAAUUUACGGUGUAAGCGGUGAAAUGCGUAGAUAUCGUAAGGAGACCAGUGGCGAAGGCGGGUCUCUGGAACAGUUCCUGACGCUGGAGGCACGAAGGCCAGGGGAGCAAAACGGG
rnacentral:rRNA from 1 species